UACGUAGGGGGCAAGCGUUGUCCGGAAUCAUUGGGCGUAAAGCGCGCGUAGGCGGCCCGGUAAGUCCGUUGUGAAAGUCAAAGGCUCAACCUUUGAACGCCGAUGGAUACUGCCGGGCUAGAGUCCGGAAGAGGCGAGUGGAAUUCCUGGUGUAGCGGUGGAAUGCGCAGAUAUCAGGAGGAACACCAAUAGCGAAGGCAGCUCGCUGGGACGGUACUGACGCUGAGGCACGAAAGCGUGGGGAGCGAACAGG
rnacentral:rRNA from 1 species